rnacentral:rRNA from 1 species
AGCAGCCGCGGUAAUUCCAGCUCCAAUAGCGUAUAUUAAAGUUGUUGCAGUUAAAAAGCUCGUAGUUGAAUUUUAGGCCUGGCCGGGCGGUCCGUCUUUGGCGAGUACUGUUCUGUGUCGGGUCUUACCUUCUGGUAAACCGGCAUGUUCCUUUAUCGUGUAUGCCGGGGAACCAGGACCAUUACCUUGAAAAAUUAGAGUGUUUAAAGCGGGACUUUUGCUUGAAUAGAUUAGCAUGGAAUAAUAAAAUAGGACGUUGGUUCUAUUUUGUUGGUCUAGGACCACCGUAAUGAUUAAUAGGGAUAGUUGGGGCAUUAGUAUUCAAUUGUCAGAGGUGAAAUUCUUGGAUUUAUUGAAGACUAACUAUUGCGAAAGCAUUUGCCAAGGAUGUUUUCAUUAAUCAAGAACGAAAGUUAGGGAUCGAAGACGAUCAGAUACCGUCGUAGUCUUAACCAUAAACUAUGCCGACUAGGAAUCGGGCGACGUUAUUUUCACGACUUGCUCG